GGGCCUCAACUCCCUGAGAGCACCCUGUGAGCACAGCUCCUAGUCCUGACUCUGCUUGGCCAAGCUCCUUCCCUCUUCCUGGGUUUGUCUUGCUUCUGAGGCAGAAAAAGCCCAUGGCUCUGUACCAGGUGCUCUAACAACAUUAUCCCCUGCAAUCCUGUGUUGAACCUGCAGUGCACAGAGUGGAGUGAGUCACUUCUUCAGUUAUGGCAUUCUGGAAAGAUAGCAUGUACCCAAAGAAAUAUGAAGCAGCAGCUUUGAAACCUGAGCAACAGACCUUGGCAACACCAUCCAACUUGGUUUAGCUCAUUGUCACUUAACCAGAUCCAACACUCUUGGCUUCCUGAACUUGCUACAGCUCUCUGAUCUUUGGAAUCUUCUUCAAUUCCAGCUAGAAUGCUGCAUCAGGCGCUUUACAGGUUUGGUCAAAACCUGUUACGCAGACGUCCACUGGAGAAAGAAGUGUACGAGUUUAAAUCUGGCAUAAAACUGAGCACUCUGGAUUUAGUGGCCCUGGGUGUGGGCCGCACAGUGGGUGUCGGUGUGUACUUCCUGGCUAAUGAGGUGGCCGGUAACCAAGCAGGACCAUCCACUGUGAUCUGCUUUUUGGUGGCAGGUCUAACAUCAUUGUUGGCUGGACUGUGCUAUGCGGAGUUUAGUGCCCGGGUCCCCCAUUCUGGCUCGGCAUAUCUCUACAGCUACGUCACUGUGGGUGAACUCUGGGCUUUCAUCACUGGCUGGAAUCUCAUCCUCUCCUUUGUUGUUGAUGCAUUCGCUGUGGUCCAGGCCUGGUUCUUAACUUUUGACAUCUUGUUUGGGAACCAGAUCUCUGAGACCCAGCAUGAGACCAUCUCACAGUAUGUUCCCGAAGUCAUUGCAGACCAUCUAGGCUACUUUUUUGUCAUCUUUCUGUUUUUGUUCAUGGAACUGCAAUAUGUAAGUCGGCGUGGGUUCUUCAGAGUUUUUGAAGUGUUUACAUUGGUGAAGCUUUUGGUUCUCAGCUUUUUCAUCAUCUCUGGCUUCAUUAAGGGGGACCUGCACAACUGGAAGCUCACAGAAGAGGACUACAUACAGGCCGGACUCAAUGGCACCUCUCUCUUGGGCCCUCUGGGCUCUGGAGGAUUCAUGCCUUUUGGCUUUGAGGGCAUUCUCCGUGGAUCAGCUACCUGUUUCUAUGCAUUCAUAGGUUUCAGCGUUAUUGUUACCAGAGUCAAAGAAUCCCGCAAUCCCCAGCGUUCCAUCCCCGUGGGCAUUGUGAUUUCACUGCUCAUCUGCUUUUUUGUGUAUUUUGGAGUCUCUGCAGCACUGACACUCAUGGUUCCUUACUACCAGCUGCGACCUGGGAGCACCUUGCCUGAGGCAUUUCUCCAUAUUGGCUGGGCCCCUGCAUACUAUGUUGUAGUUUUUGCAAUUUUCUGUAGUAUUUUUGUUGGUAUCUAUUGGGGCUUUAUGUUCCCCAUACGUCGGGUGAUACACAUGAUGGCAAAGGAUGGUCUCCUGUUCCCAGUCCUUGCCAGGUUCACUUAUGGCACAUAUGGCCGUAUCUUGUCCACUCUGAUCCUUGGCAUUAUCACAGCAGUCAUGGUAUUCUUCUUUGGACUCACUGAUCUUCUGGACCUGAGGUCAGUUGGGACCCUGGUAUCUUAUUCCCUGAUAGCUUUUUGUGUUCUUAUUGUCAGGUACCAGAUUAAGAGGAGGAAGGAGGAAAAUGAAGAAGAGCUGCAGGAGAAGGAUGGGGGAAAUGAAGCACAGGUGCAGGGGGAGACCGCACCUGCAGCAGAGAAGCUGACUCUACAAGGACUACUUUUUCCAGGCAGCCCCACCCCUACUCUACUCUCUGGCCAGGUUGUCUAUGUUUGCUCCUCACUGCUGGUUCUGCUGAUGACUCUCCUCUGCCUGGUGCUGGCCCACUGGCCAGGUCUGCUUUCUGGAGAUGCAGGGCCGAUCACAGUGGUUGUGCUGCUCCUGGUGCUCAUCACUGGGAUCACUGGGGUCAUCUGGAGACAGCCACAGAGCUCCUCUUCCCUUCCCUUUAAGGUCCCUGCUCUGCCUCUCCUCCCACUCCUGAGCAUCUUUGUGAAUGUUUGCCUUAUGAUGCAGAUGUCAGCUGGCACCUGGCUGAAAUUUGGUGUCUGGAUGCUGAUCGGAUUUGUUUUCUACUUCUGCUCUGGGAUCCAGCAAAGUAGGGUUAAGUGACAGGCUUGUCACUUAACCCUACUUAUGAACCCAAACUUUAGACCUUGAACUCAGCAGUGCCAGUAUGUAUUUGGCUUGACAUCAUCACACCUGAAUGCAGUCUGGUCUCCUACACAGUAAUGGGUGUACUCCUGAGCACAUGGAAAUAUGGGCGCCUAUGAGAUAUUGGUGAGGGAACACUAAUAGAGCUUCAUAUUUAUGGUACAGUGAAGGAUGUGUCUUUGCUCCCCCCGCCCUUUUUUUACUUUCUACUCUUCUCUAGUGUCUGUAGUUGCUUACUGGCUUUUACAGAAUUCGUAUUAGAAGAGUUUGAUAAAAUAUUUUUCUUUUCUUUAGUUAAACAUUCACUAAUGAAGGAGAUGCCUUGUUGGCAGAGUCAGUAGACCAUGACUCUUGCUCUCAGGCUGCAUUAUUUACAAUAGGCAGGAUAUGGAAGGAACAGAGGGUAUGCAUCAAUGGAAGAAUGGAUAAAGAAGAUGUGGACUAUAUGUACACCCAAUAGACUAUUACUCAGCCAUAAAGAAGAAUGUAAUCUUGUCAUUUGUAACAACAUGGAUGAAUUGGGUGGGCAUAAUGAUAAUUUAAAUAUGUCAGUCUGAGAAAAACAAAUGCCAUGUUUUCAGGCUUAUGGAGAAUUAAAGAAAUAAAUCAAAAUGAAAAAAGAAAAAAGAGAGACAAAUUCAAUAUAAAAAAUAAAUAAAUAAAUAAAUAAAUAAAUAAACACAACAUUCUAGACCCCUAAAUAAAGGGAACAAACUCGUGGUUGUCAAAGCUGAGAUGGGUAGGGGAAUGGGUAAUUUAAAUAAAGGGAAUUAAGAGUACACUAAUAAUUAUGAGCUCUGAAAAAAUGUGUGAAAUUGUUGAAUCAUUGUAUUAUGCACCUGUGAGUAAUACAUCAACAUUGCAUGGUCAUUAUAUUUAUAUAUUAAAAAAAAGAAAAAGAAGCUAGAAAAACCCC